rfam:Anopheles minimus strain MINIMTS1 unplaced genomic scaffold supercont1.14, whole genome shotgun sequence.
GGUAUGGAUCCGAAACCUCUAGAAGGAUAAAAAAGGCUCUCCACACUCUACUCCUACUCAAUACGUCCCCGGCGUACAGAGCGG